rnacentral:rRNA from 1 species
AUUGAACGCUGGCGGCAGGCCUAACACAUGCAAGUCGAACGAGUCGCGGACGGGUUAGUUAUGUCUGUGAAUCUGCCUGGUGGAGGGGGAUAACUAAUGGACACGGUAGCUACUACCGCAUACCAUCGGAUGUGCCCAGUUGGGUUUAGCUAGUGGGGGGGGUAAAGGCUCACCUAGGCGACGAUCCCUAGCUGGUCUGAGAGGAUGACCAGCCACACUGGAACUGAGACACGGUCCAGACUCCUACGGGAGGCAGCAGUGGGGAAUAUUGGACAAUGGGCGAAAGCCUGAUCCAGCCAUGCCGCGUGUGUGAAGAAGGCCUUCGGGUCGUAAAGUACUUUCAGCGGAGAAGCGUUACCCACAGAGAAAGCAACGGCUAACUCCGUGCCAGCCGCCGCGGUAAUAC